GCCCAAAGUCGCACGUGCCUGUGGGUGUCCGCCGAUCCCUCGUUUGGUGAGGAAAUCGGUAAGGUACCUGGAUCUAACCGCUCCAGUCGUUUUUCCGGCCAACCGGAAUUGCGAGGACAUCUUGAAGCAACGACGGUGCGGGCCUUU
rnacentral:sRNA from 1 species